rnacentral:rRNA from 1 species
GCUAAACGCGAAGAACCUUACCAGGGCUUGACAUCCUGCUAAUUUCUCCGAAAGGAGAAAGUGCCUUCGGGCCGCAGUGACAGGUGUUGCAUGGCCGUCGUCAGCUCGUGUCGUGAGAUGUUAGGUUAAGUCCUUCAACGAGCGCAACCCUUAUGUUUAGUUGGAUUUUCUAAACAGACUGCCUCGGUAACGGGGAGGAAGGAGGGGAUGAUGUCAGGUCAUUAUUGCCCUUACGUCCUGGGCUAGAAACGCGCUACAAUGGCCGGUACAAAGGGCAGCCAACCCGCGAGGGGGAGCAAAUCCCAUCAAAAACCGGUCCCAGUUCGGAUUGCAGGCUGAAACUCGCCUGCAUGAAGCCGGAAUCACUAGUAAUCGUAGGUCAGCACACUACGGUGAAUACGUUCCCGGGUCUUGUACACACCGAGUC